UACGUAGGCAGCGAGCGUUGUUCGGAAUUACUGGGCGUAAAGAGUGUGUAGGCGGUGCUCUAAGUUCGGUGUGAAAUCUCCCGCUUGACUGGGAGGGUGCGCCGGAAACUGGAGUGCUCGAGCGUGGGAGAGGAAGGCGGAAUUCCUGGUGUAGCGGUGAAAUGCGUAGAUAUCAGGAGGAACACCUGCGGUGUAGACGGCUUUCUGGACCAUUGCUGACGCUGAGACACGAAAGCGUGGGUAGCAAACAGG
rnacentral:rRNA from 1 species